UGAUUGUGGAGGGUGGGAUGUUGGUUGCAAGCUAAAAAUACUUGAACAGGAUAAGAAUUGCAAGAGCCAAGAUUUUCUAAACCUUUUGAUUCAGGGAGGAAAUAGGAGGAGCAAGCCUAUCUUCAGCAUGGCACCACUCAAGAAUGGACUUUACUCUGUCGAAUUUGAUUCAUCAGUUCCUUUGUUAGAGGCAUUCUCCAUAUGUGUGUCUGCCCUGACUAGUCAUAAACUAGCUGACAUCUUUGAAAUUGGUUCUCUAGGACGGAAGGCUUCUUCAGAUGCCACGAUGGGGACAAAGGCUUCAACCGCAGUCCAAGGACAAGUCCCUCAAAGAUAUGUGUCAUCUCCACCCCCCUCACCUGUUGGAAG
rnacentral:misc_RNA from 1 species